UCUGAAAUGUUUUCCUCUGCAACCUGCUGUGUUCAGGAGGCCAAAAGAGCGCCAGAACCUCCCACCCAGGGCAGGCAGGGGCCAGGCCAAAGAUAUACAAGCAAAGUACCUUCAGAAGCCUUAAGAUGGAAGGUGUGACUGGAAGCUUCAGCUCUCAGGAGGCAAGCUAACUGAAGAGAACAUGGAUUGGAACAGCACCAUGAAGAAGAGCAGGAUUCAUUUUCAGAGGAUUCAGCUCAUGGUUGGUUGGCUCCAAGGCAGAAAUGACAUGGCAGGACAUGGUGGAGGAGAGCUGCUCACCUCAGGGCAGCCAGGAAGCAGAGAGAGAAGGAAGGAGCCAGAGAUAAGAAUACAUUCUUCCAGCUCCUGGAUCCUGGCAUGAGAAAGAAAGAUCAAAUCUACAGAGACACAGUGAAAGUGAGUAAUUCCAGAGGCCUCCAGGAAGAAACAGAAGAGUGGAACAGAGCACUGUGUCCUGUGAGGUACCACAGCUGGUGACUGACUCCGGUCCAAGCAACUGCAGUGUCCCCUGGAGACAGUGCUUGGUUGGAUGCCAUUUUAGGGAGGGGCCAACUGAACCCAGAACUUGUGGCAGCUGUGAUUGGCUUCAUCUCAGGGCUCCCAGUGUUAAAAACCCACAGUGACUGUGUGAGGGACCACCAUGGGAGACAUCCAGUGUGUUAUAAGUGGUCAAGCCAGCAAGAGACAUCCAGAAUGUUAUAAUCUAAACAACUCAGACCCUAACCCCAUGACCAGAGGCCAGGAUCAGCCUGAACUUCUGUGGAUUUCAAAGCGCCAGAACCAGCACCUUGUGUUAAUCCUACUGCAGGCUUGCUGGGGUUAUCCUAUAUGGCUCUGGGCUCUGACUGCCUCCUUUGUCUGCAAGCAAGAACAGAGUGAUGCCCUGAAUUGGACACUGCCACAAAACUGUAGAUCCCAGAAGACAACCAUAGGUUUGAAAUCACAGAGAAAUUUCUUUUUUUUUUUCCUCCUUCACUUUGGUUUUUGUUCUUUUCUUCAUUUGGGUGUUGUUGUUUUCAUGAGUGUGAACGUUGCUUUUAGCUUUUUGUUUUGUUUUGUUGUUGUUUCUUCUUUCUUUCCUUCUUGUUUUCUUCACCAGUUUCCCAAGGCUUGGGUAAUUUUCCUUUGUCCUUCAGCCUUGCUUCUAAU
rnacentral:lncRNA from 1 species